AUCGAGCUGUCAUCAAGGCUGUCAUUUUUUAUUCACCCGCGCGCGUGUUUGAUCCUGUUUGUGUGGCGCAGUUGAAAUCAAAAAUUCUCAAGUCGAAUCGCGUGUGCUCGUGAAGGAACAACAUCCGGCGUUCGGAACAAAUACACCGGGUGACCGAACCGGAACGGCGGGAUGGCGGAAUUUUCGCAUAUUUGGGGACUUCUUCUACCAGGCCCGGCGCCUGCUGCGGACACUUCCGGCCGGAUUUGUUCAGGAUGGUCGUUUCGUCUGGAGGCGAAAAUCGUUAGGGGCCUAUUCCACUGAGGAUUGUGCUUCAUAAAUACGCGAGAGUUCAUCCCAAGUACGACGCAGUAGUUCCGGCACCGGCUACAAACAUUUCGAACAACUUCAGAAAGUUCGGAUUGAAGCAGAAUAUUAAAAGAAAA